rnacentral:rRNA from 1 species
GACGAACGCUGGCGGCAUGCCUAACACAUGCAAGUCGAGCGAGCUGAUUUCUUCGGAAUGAAGCUAGCGGCGGACGGGUGAGUAACACGUGGGCAACCUGCCUCAUAGAGGGGAAUAGCCUUCCGAAAGGAAGAUUAAUACCGCAUAAGAUUGUAGUACCGCAUGGUACAGCAAUUAAAGGAGCAAUCCGCUAUGAGAUGGGCCCGCGGCGCAUUAGCUAGUUGGUGAGGUAACGGCUCACCAAGGCGACGAUGCGUAGCCGACCUGAGAGGGUGAUCGGCCACAUUGGGACUGAGACACGGCCCAGACUCCUACGGGAGGCAG